AUUGAACGCUGGCGGCAGGCCUAACACAUGCAAGUCGAACGAGUGGCGGACGGGUGAGUAAUGUCUGGGAACCUGCCUGAUGGAGGGGGAUAACUACUGGAACCGGUAGCUAAUACCGCAUACCAUCGGAUGUGCCCGGAUGGGAUUAGCUUGUAGGUGGGGUAAAGGCUCACCUAGGCGACGAUCCCUAGCUGGUCUGAGAGGAUGACCAGCCAAACUGGAACGGAGACACGGUCCAGACUCCUACGGGAGGAAGCAGUGGGGAAUAUUGCACAAGGGGGGCAAGCCUGAUGCAGCCAUGCGGCGUGUAUGAAGAAGGCCUUCGGGUUGUAAAGUACUUUCAGCGGGGAGGCGUUACCCGCAGAAGAAGCACCGGCUAACUCCGUGCCAGCAGCCGCGGUAAUAC
rnacentral:rRNA from 1 species